rnacentral:rRNA from 1 species
AGUUUGAUCCUGGCUCAGAACGAACGCUGGCGGCGUGGAUUAGACAUGCAAGUUGCACGAGUUUCGUUUGGUAGCAAUACUGAGCGAAGCUAGUGGCGAACGGGUGCGUAACACAUGAGUCAUCUGCCCGAAAGUGGGGAAUAGCUCGGCGAAAGCCGGAUUAAUACCGCAUGUGGUCAGGCCUUUGGACGGACCAUCGCCGGGACCACCUGUAGCUUUUGACAGAACCCCGGUAAACCCAUAGCUUUAGUAUACAUGCGAAAAGAAAAGGGAAAAAGGGAGGGGGAGGAGAAGAAGGAAAAAGAAAGAAAAUGGACCCCCCCCCCGGGAGGAGGGGUGACUUCUCAACAUCUAAACGAGGAAAUCAUAGUAGGACCAGGAAUCAGGCCGCGUGGUGAAGGUCCCAUGUAAUAAACAGAAGGAUGAUGGUGAAGGAGAACACUGGAUGCACUUGUAUGCUAUUGUCGUC